CUAAAAAUUAAGAGAAUAUACAUGAACAUUUUUGAAAGCUAUUGUAUCAGGAUAUAUUGUUCGCUUAUCGUUAUUGUUAAUUUCCAAAUUUAAAAAAUCAUGCAUACAUCUAAGACAGGAAAAUCCCAAAAUGUACCUCCCUUUUUUCGUCUGAUCAUUGCCAAGCAACCGGAGGGGAGAAAUGCCUGCCUGCCAAACAUCCUGAGAAAUUUUCGGACAACUUCAUGACGCUAAAUUAACUAGCAGACAUUUCUAUUAGCUCUGUGGAAUGAAUACCAAGGCAAUUUACGCUUAAUAUAUGCAUGAUGCUGUCCGCUUGAUAA